AGAACGAACGCUGGCGGCGCGUUUAAGCAUGCAAGUCGAGCGGCAAGGGCCUUCGGGCCCCUAGAGCGGCGGACGGGUGAGUAACACGUGGACAAUCUGCCCCCCGGCCCGGGAUAGCCCAGGGAAACCUGGAUUAAUACCGGAUGAGACGGGACCCGCGAUGGCGGGACCCGGGAAAGGCGCUGCGGCGCCGCCGGGGGAUGAGUCUGCGUCCCAUUAGCUAGACGGCGGGGUAACGGCCCACCGUGGCGACGAUGGGUAGCCGGCCUGAGAGGGUGGACGGCCACAUCGGAACUGAGACACGGUCCAGACUCCUACGGGAGGCAGCAGCUAAGAAUCUUCCGCAAUGGGCGAAAGCCUGACGGAAGCGACGCCGCGUGAACGAAGAAGGCCGUGAGGUUGUAAAGUUCUUUUCGGGAGGGGAACAACCGUGGCAGGGAAUGGCCGCGGGAUGACGUGAAUCCCGGAAUAAGCCCCGGCUAACUACGUGCCAGCCGCGGC
rnacentral:rRNA from 1 species